rnacentral:rRNA from 1 species
GACGAACGCUGGCGGCGUGCUUAACACAUGCAAGUCGAACGGAAAGGCCCUGCUUUUGUGGGGUGCUCGAGUGGCGAACGGGUGAGUAACACGUGAGUAACCUGCCCUUGACUUUGUGAUAACUUCAGGAAACUGGGGCUAAUACCGGAUAGGAGCUCCUGCUGCAUGGUGGGGGUUGGAAAGUUUCGGCGGUUGGGGAUGGACUCGCGGCUUAUCAGCUUGUUGGUGGGGUAGUGGCUUACCAAGGCUUUGACGGGUAGCCGGCCUGAGAGGGGGACCGGCCACAUUGGGACUGAGAGACGGCCCAGACUCCUACGGGAGGCAGCAGUGGGGAAUAUUGCAGAAUGGGCGGAAGCCUGAUGCAGCAACGCCGCGUGCGGGAUGACGGCCUUCGGGUUGUAAACCGCUGUCGCCUGUGACGAAGCGUGAGUGACGGUAAUGGGUAAAGAAGCACCGGCUAACUACGUG